rnacentral:lncRNA from 1 species
UAUGUAAGUAGCUUUUUUUUUUUUUUUUUUAGGGGUCCUGGUUGCCCCACUCUUGUAGUCUAGUUCAUCUAUCCAAUGAAUGAAACGGGUAGCGCGCUAUCUUUUUUUUUAAAAAAAAAAAAUAAUACAGAAGAUUAGUUGGAUAAUAGCUCAUAAUUAAUUAAGGAUAAUUGUCUAUAUAUCCUUCAAAACUUAAAAAAUAUCUCAUUUAUUUCUAGCUUUUUUUUUUCAAUAUACCCCUCAUAUAUUCCUCCUGUAUUCCAAAAUGCUCUAGUAAUUACCAUCCAUUAAGUUAACUUGCGUUAAACGUGAGCUAAAUAUCUAUCAAAGUUAAAAAAAUCAAAAUAUCUCUUUUGCCCUUAACUUAAGGACAAAUAAAAAAUGUUGGUAAUGGUAGAAAGGUAAAUUUGAAAAGACCAAAAAUCAAAAUGCUUUUUUGUACUUCUAACUUAAAGACAAAUAAAAAUAGUUGUUGAUAAUAGAAGAAUAUAUUUGAAAAGGCAAAAUAUUAAAUUUAUAAAGAUAACAGUUAUAACUAACAGUUUAUUAAUAGAAUUUAACUCUAAAAUUAUAUUUGAAAUAAGUUGAAACGUAAAAAAAAUAUUUUUAAUAUUAACCUUUUAGGAAAGAUAAAUCAAAAAGUCAGAAAAUUUUCAAAAAUAUAUAAACAAUUGCCCCAAUUAAUUAUGUACAUUAUAAUUAUUGCUAUU